CAGUCACAUCAUUUUGAAACACCGGUUCCCGUAUAAUCACCGAAGUUAAGCAAUGUCGAGCCUGGACAUUACGAAGAUGAGUGACAAUUUGGGAAUAUAAGGUGCUGUAA